UGGGGAAUAUUGCACAAUGGGCGCAAGCCUGAUGCAGCCAUGCCGCGUGUAUGAAGAAGGCCUUCGGGUUGUAAAGUACUUUCAGCGGGGAGGAAGGGAGUAAAGUUAAUACCUUUGCUCAUUAACGUUACCCGCAGAAGAAGCACCGGCUAACUCCGUGCCAGCAGCCGCGGUAAUACGGAGGGUGCAAGCGUUAAUCGGAAUUACUGGGCGUAAAGCGCACGCAGGCGGUUUGUUAAGUCAGAUGUGAAAUCCCCGGGCUCAACCUGGGAACUGCAUCUGAUACUGGCAAGCUUGAGUCUCGUAGAGGGGGGUAGAAUUCCAGGUGUAGCGGUGAAAUGCGUAGAGAUCUGGAGGAAUACCGGUGGCGAAGGCGGCCCCCUGGACGAAGACUGACGCUCAGGUGCGAAAGCGUGGGGAGCAAACAGG
rnacentral:rRNA from 1 species